UGCAGUCGAGCGAACAGAUAAGGAGCUUGCUCCUUUGACGUUAGCGGCGGACGGGUGAGUAACACGUGGAUAACCUACCUAUAAGACUGGGAUAACUUCGGGAAACCGGAGCUAAUACCGGAUAACAUAUUGAACCGCAUGGUUCAAUAGUGAAAGGCGGCUUUGCUGUCACUUAUAGAUGGAUCCGCGCCGUAUUAGCUAGUUGGUAAGGUAACGGCUUACCAAGGCAACGAUACGUAGCCGACCUGAGAGGGUGAUCGGCCACACUGGAACUGAGACACGGUCCAGACUCCUACGGGAGGCAGCAGUAGGGAAUCUUCCGCAAUGGGCGAAAGCCUGACGGAGCAACGCCGCGUGAGUGAUGAAGGUCUUCGGAUCGUAAAACUCUGUUAUCAGGGAAGAACAAAUGUGUAAGUAACUGUGCACAUCUUGACGGUACCUGAUCAGAAAGCCACGGCUAACUACGUGCCAGCAGCCGCGGUAAUACGUAGGUGGCAAGCGUUAUCCGGAAUUAUUGGGCGUAAAGCGCGCGUAGGCGGUUUUUUAAGUCUGAUGUGAAAGCCCACGGCUCAACCGUGGAGGGUCAUUGGAAACUGGAAAACUUGAGUGCAGAAGAGGAAAGUGGAAUUCCAUGUGUAGCGGUGAAAUGCGCAGAGAUAUGGAGGAACACCAGUGGCGAAGGCGACUUUCUGGUCUGUAACUGACGCUGAUGUGCGAAAGCGUGGGGAUCAAACAGGAUUAGAUACCCUGGUAGUCCACGCCGUAAACGAUGAGUGCUAAGUGUUAGGGGGUUUCCGCCCCUUAGUGCUGCAGCUAACGCAUUAAGCACUCCGCCUGGGGAGUACGACCGCAAGGUUGAAACUCAAAGGAAUUGACGGGGACCCGCACAAGCGGUGGAGCAUGUGGUUUAAUUCGAAGCAACGCGAAGAACCUUACCAAAUCUUGACAUCCUUUGACCGCUCUAGAGAUAGAGUCUUCCCCUUCGGGGGACAAAGUGACAGUGUGCAUGAUGUCGUCAGCUCGUGUCGUGAGAUGUUGGGUAGUCCCGCACGAGCGCA
rnacentral:rRNA from 1 species